rnacentral:rRNA from 1 species
UGCAGUCGACGGCAGCCCUUGGAUUCGUCUGAGGGCGAGAGUGGCGAACGGGUGAGUAACACGUAGGUGACCUACCCCAAAGAGAGGAAUAACCACUGGAAACGGUGGCUAAUACCCCAUGUGCUCCGUGAAGUUAGAGGGUCACGGAGUAAAGCCCCUUCGGGGAGCGCUUUGGGAGGGGCCUGCGGCCCAUCAGGUAGUUGGUAGGGUAAUGGCCUACCAAGCCGAUGACGGGUAGGGGGCGUGAGAGCGUGACCCCCCACACUGGCACUGCGACACGGGCCAGACUCCUACGGGAGGCAGCAGUGAGGAAUAUUGAGCAAUGGGCGCAAGCCUGACUCAGCAACGCCGCGUGGGCGAUGAAGGCCUUCGGGUUGUAAAGCCCUUUUCUGGGGGACGAGGAAGGACGGUACCCCAGGAAUAAGUCACGGCUAACUACGUGCCAGCAGCCGCGGUAACACGUAGGUGGCAAGCGUUAUCCGGAUUCACUGGGCGUAAAGCGCGUGCAGGCGGUUUCGUAAGUCGGACGUGAAAGCCCCUGGCUCAACCAGGGAACUGCGUCCCAUACUGCUUGGCUUGAGUGCAGCAGAGGAGGGGGGAAUUCCCGGUGUAGCGGUGAAAUGCAUUGAUAUCGGGAGGAACACCAGUGGCGAAGGCGCCCCUCUGGGCUGUUACUGACGCUGAGGCGCGAAAGCUGGGGGAGCAAACAGGAUUAGAUACCCUGGUAGUCCCAGCCGUAAACGGUGGGCACUAGGUGUGGGGGGCAUCGACCCCUCCCGUGCCGAAGCUAACGCAUUAAGUGCCCCGCCUGGGGGAGUACGACCGCAAGGUUGAAACUCAAAGGAAUUGACGGGGGGCCCGCACAAGCGGUGGAGCAUGUGGUUCAAUUCGAUGCAACGCGAAGAACCUUACCCA